rnacentral:rRNA from 1 species
UGAGGAAUAUUGGUCAAUGGGCGAGAGCCUGAACCAGCCAAGUAGCGUGCAGGAUGACGGCCCUAUGGGUUGUAAACUGCUUUUAUAAGGGAAUAAAGUUAGUCUCGUGAGACUUUUUGCAUGUACCUUAUGAAUAAGGACCGGCUAAUUCCGUGCCAGCAGCCGCGGUAAUACGGAAGGUCCGGGCGUUAUCCGGAUUUAUUGGGUUUAAAGGGAGCGUAGGCCGGAGAUUAAGCGUGUUGUGAAAUGUAGACGCUCAACGUCUGCACUGCAGCGCGAACUGGUUUCCUUGAGUACGCACAAAGUGGGCGGAAUUCGUGGUGUAGCGGUGAAAUGCUUAGAUAUCACGAAGAACUCCGAUUGCGAAGGCAGCUCACUGGAGCGCAACUGACGCUGAAGCUCGAAAGUGCGGGUAUCGAACAGGAUUAGAUACCCUGGUAGUCCGCACGGUAAACGAUGGAUGCCCGCUGUUGGUCUGAACAGGUCAGCGGCCAAGCGAAAGCAUUAAGCAUCCCACCUGGGGAGUACGCCGGCAACGGUGAAACUCAAAGGAAUUGACGGGGGCCCGCACAAGCGGAGGAACAUGUGGUUUAAUUCGAUGAUACGCGAGGAACCUUACCCGGGCUUGAAUUGCAGAGGAAGGAUUUGGAGACAAUGACGCCCUUCGGGGCCUCUGUGAAGGUGCUGCAUGGUUGUCGUCAGCUCGUGCCGUGAGGUGUCGGCUUAAGUGCCAUAACGAGCGCAACCCCUCUCCUUAGUUGCCAUCAGGUUAAGCUGGGCACUCUGGGGACACUGCCACCGUAAGGUGUGAGGAAGGUGGGGAUGAUGUCAAAUCAGCACGGCCCUUACGUCCGGGGCUACACACGUGUUACAAUGGCAGGUACAGAGAGACGGUCCCUUGCAAAAUGGAUCAAAUCCUUAAAGCCUGUCUCAGUUCGGACUGGGGUCUGCAACCCGACCCCACGAAGCUGGAUUCGCUAGUAAUCGCGCAUCAGCCAUGGCGCGGUGAAUACGUUCCC